rnacentral:misc_RNA from 1 species
AAGUCGUAACAAGGUUUCCGUAGGUGAACCUGCGGAAGGAUCAUUAAAGAGAAAUGUGCUGUGCAUCGUCUCUCACGAGCGAUGCCUUCACAAACUUUUCUAUGAAAACUGUCGGCAAGCAUUUCGGUGCUUUGCCAAACCCACUCUAAAUUUAGACAAAUUGUUAACAUAACAAAAUACAACUUUUAACAAUGGAUCUCUUGGCUCUC